AGCUCUGCGCAGGCGCGGGCAGGCCUGCGCAGGCGCGGCCGCGAGAGGCGGGGAGUUAGGGAGUAGGGAGGGAAUAGUUCUGGGAUGGAAUUAAUGUCCCAGGGCACUCAGUACUGCGUGGGUGCCGCUAUCAGGCUUGGGUGAAUGAGUGACAACAACAGACAGCAAGGAUUAAUACAAGAGGAAAGGGGAUGGAGCAGAACUUCAGACAUCAUCUAUUUGCGUGCCUGACCAGAUGCUGAGGAAGACGUAGGUCUGGUAGCUGGGAUCGCAAGCUUCCGACUGAGAUGCAGGUUAAGCUUUGGAUGGGAGCCCGAGACAAGAGGCCGUGAGCUGCCAACCUUCGGGAUGUCCAAGAGCGCGAAGAUGGGUGACGCUACUCAGGUGAACAGAGACACAGCAGGAGCCUGGAAUUGCCGACUUCUUGGGUAGCAAAGGUGACGCAGGGAAGUCGUUGAACCUGGAGAGUGGGACGCGAUCCGAAGACUCGGGCGGAAGAGCGAGACUGGCUCAGGGGGCGACGGUGAGGGUGUAGAAGCCCAGAGGUUCUUUAUGUAGGCGCUCUCCUCAGAGGCACCACCUCGAGCUGUUUCUGUGUUACUGCACAGGAAUAAACUGCUUUAUGGAACGAGAUAUCUGAGACUCUGCUAUGGGAAACAGGGGUCGGAGCGGUAAGGAAACCUGGUGUGACCGUCCUUUGGCCCUGUGACACCUUUGGGCUAUGUGACUGUCAGAGUUUUGUGAAUGGUCAGACUGGGAAGAUUCCCUAACGUCCAUGACAGACUCAGAAAGUUACUUUCUGAUAAGUGGGACUAAGUUGGCCCCGACACGGAGGAAUACAAACAUGGAUGCAGACGGCCGGUAUGAAAUUGUAGCAGAGAAAGCAAAAUAUUUGCCAUCUUAGAAGAAAAACAAGUUUUUAUUUACAAGAUGGCAACAUGGGAUAAACAUGAGUCAUCUCUGUGCUCUUCAGGAGGAAGUAUUUAAUCUCAGCUUUUCAAGUGGACACAUGCUCAGCCACAAAUAGUUUUGUUUUUACAGGUUACUCCCCAGCUAAGACCAGGAAGCCCUAAUUCUAUGUCAAAUAUUUCAGAAUGGUAUCAAUAAAAACCCCUGUGAUUACAA